AGCAUAUCAAUAAGCGGAGGAAAAGAAACUAACAAGGAUUCCCCUAGUAACUGCGAGUGAAGCGGGAAAAGCUCAAAUUUAAAAUCUGGCGGUCUUCGGCCGUCCGAGUUGUAGUCUGGAGAAGUGCUUUCCGCGCUGGACCGUGUACAAGUCUCUUGGAACAGAGCGUCAUAGAGGGUGAGAAUCCCGUCUUUGACACGGACUACCAGUGCUUUGUGAUGCGCUCUCAAAGAGUCGAGUUGUUUGGGAAUGCAGCUCAAAAUGGGUGGUAAAUUCCAUCUAAAGCUAAAUAUUGGCGAGAGACCGAUAGCGAACAAGUACCGUGAGGGAAAGAUGAAAAGCACUUUGGAAAGAGAGUUAAACAGUACGUGAAAUUGCUGAAAGGGAAACGAUUGAAGUCAGUCGCGUUAGCCAGGACUCAGCCUUGUUUUUACUUGGUGCAUUUUCUGGUUGACGGGCCAGCAUCGAUUUUGACCGCCGGAAAAAGAUUGGGGGAAUGUGGCACCUUCGGGUGUGUUAUAGCCCUCAGUCACAUACGGCGAUUGGGAUCGAGGACCGCAGCACGCCUUUAUGGCCGGGGUUCGCCCACGUUCGUGCUUAGGAUGCUGGCGUAAUGGCUUUAAACGACCCGUCUUGAAACACGGACCAAGGAGUCUAACAUGCCUGCGAGUGUUUGGGUGGAAAACCCGAGCGCGUAAUGAAAGUGAAAGUUGAGAUCCCUGUCGCGGGGAGCAUCGACGCCCGGACUUGAACUUCGGUGAUAGAUCUGCGGUAGAGCAUGUAUGUUGGGACCCGAAAGAUGGUGAACUAUGCCUGAAUAGGGUGAAGCCAGAGGAAACUCUGGUGGAGGCUCGUAGCGAUUCUGACGUGCAAAUCGAUCGUCAAAUUUGGGUAUAGGGGCGAAAGACUAAUCGAACCAUCUAGUAGCUGGU
rnacentral:rRNA from 1 species